GUGGGGAAUCUUGCACAAUGGGGGCAACCCUGAUGCAGCGACGCCGCGUGAGUGAUGAAGUCCUUCGGGAUGUAAAGCUCUUUCGACGGGAACGAUAAUGACGGUACCCGGAGAAGAAGCUGCGGCUAACUACGUGCCAGCAGCCGCGGUAAUACGUAGGCAGCAAACGUUGUUCGGAAUUACUGGGCGUAAAGAGUGUGUAGGCGGUUGGGUAAGUUUGGUGUGAAAUCUCCCGGCUUAACUGGGAGGGUGCGCCGAAAACUGCCUGGCUUGAGUACUGGAGAGGAAAGCGGAAUUCCUGGAGUAGCGGUGAAAUGCGUAGAUAUCAGGAGGAACACCGGUGGUGUAGACGGCUUUCUGGACAGUCACUGACGCUGAGACACGAAAGCGUGGGGAGCAAACAGGAUUAGAAACCCUAGUAGUCC
rnacentral:rRNA from 1 species